GACGAACCGCUGGCGGCGUGCCUAACACAUGCAAGUCGAGCGGGAUCCAUCCGGUAGCAAUACCGGUGAAGAUCUAGCGGCGAACCGGGUGAGUAACACGUGAGAAACCUGCCCCGAACUUUGGGAUAACACGAGGAAACUCGUGCUAAUACCGAAUACCUCCAUCUGGUCGCAUGGCCGGAUGAAGAAAGAUUUAUCGGUUCGGGAGGGUCUCGCGGCCUAUCAGCUAGUUGGCGGGGUAACGGCCCACCAAGGCAUCGACGGGUAGCUGGUCUGAGAGGACGAUCAGCCACACUGGGACUGAGACACGGCCCAGACUCCUACGGGAGGCAGCAGUGGGGAAUCUUGCGCAAUGGGCGAAAGCCUGACGCAGCAACGCCGCGUGCGGGAUGAAGGCCUUCGGGUUGUAAACCGCUUUCAGCAGGGAAGAAAUUGACGGUACCUGCAGAAGAAGCCCCGGCCAACUACGUGCCAGCAGCCGCGGUAACACGUAGGGGGCGAGCGUUGUCCGGAUUUAUUGGGCGUAAAGAGCUCGUAGGCGGUUCGGUAAGUCGGGUGUGAAACCUCCAGGCUCAACCUGGAGACGCCACCUGAUACUGCUGUGACUAGAGUCCGGUAGGGGAGUGUGGAACUCCUGGUGUAGCGGUGAAAUGCGCAGAUAUCAGGAAAGAACACCAGCGGCGAAGGCGGCACUCUGGGCCGGUAC
rnacentral:rRNA from 1 species